rnacentral:rRNA from 1 species
GUUGUAUGGUUAAGUGACUAAGCGUACACGGUGGAUGCCUUGGCAGUCAGAGGCGAUGAAAGGCGUAAUAACUUGCGAUAAGCCCAGAUUAGGUAGUAAUAACCUUUUGAGUCUGGGAUUCCUGAAUGGGGAAACCCACGUGCAUAAGCACGUAUCCUGUUGUGAAUACAUAGCAACAGGAGGCAAACCGGGGGAACUGAAACAUCUAAGUACCCCGAGGAAGAGAAAUCAACCGAGAUUCCGAAAGUA